ensembl:lncRNA
GCAGAGACGGGAUGAUGGUGUUGAAGGCAGAGCUGAAGUCCACAAACAGGAUCCUGGCGUAGGUUCCUGGGGAGUCCAGAUAUGCUGGAGGAUGUAGUGGAGGGCCAUGUUGACAGAUUCGUCCACAGACCUCUUGGUUCUGUAGGCGAACUGCAGUGGGUCCAGGAGGGGGUCAGUGGGGGUCUUCAGGUGGGACAGGACUAGCCGUUCAAAAGACUUCAUGACUACAUAGGGCGACGAGCCUGUAGUCAUUGAGUCCUGUGAUCUUGGGCUUCUUGGGAACAGAAGCCCAGCGAAUGUUUGAUUUACGCGCGCACAUCAAGCUGAUUUGCGCUCUCGAAUUUUGAUAGUGAAUCAGGUUGAUGCUCGCCGUAAAUCAAACAUACGCGAGCAAAUGUCCGUCUCGCGCACGAUAUUUGCUCGCUUGUGGAACGUGAACUUCUCUCUUCGAACUCAAAGGUGUUUUCUACAAGCUCGCGGUUUGUUUUUUUUGACAGUAAGGGGGUGGAGCCAGUCACCAUGGUAUUUCUACAUCUAAUUGGUUACAAACCCCGUCUUUGGAUUGGCUGGAGUUAUGCAUUCACACAACUAUAGAAGCCCAUUUUCGCACUACAGAAAUUACGGUUGUAGCUGGUUGUCAUCUACGGUCCACAACGGUUACAGGAAUCAGGAAUCAGGAAACAUUAUUGUCAAAAUAUGUCACACAUACAAGGAAUUUGACUUGGCGGUUGGUGCGUAACAGUAGACAGUAUAACAAUAGACAACAAGACAGCAGUGCACAAGUAAUAAAAUAAAAUGAAAUGCUAAUGCUAGGUUUGUAGAAUAAGGCUAUGGGAUUGUUUAGAAUAAGAUUAAAGUUAAAAAUUAAAAGUAUUUUAAAAGUUAAAUAUUUAAAGAAAUGGAGGAGCAGAGGAUGGACUCGAUGAUGGCCGUGUAAAAGUGCACCAUCAUCGUCUUUGGCAGGUUGAAUUUCUUCAGCUGCCUCAGGAAGAACAACCUCUGCUGAGCCCUCUUGGUGAUGGAGCUGCUGUUCAGCUCCCACUUGAGGUCCUGGGUGAUGAUGGAGCCCAGGAAACGGAAGGAGUCCACAAUAGUGACGGGGGAGUCACACAGGGUGAUGGGAGAGGGUGGGGCUCUGUUCCUCCGGAAA